GAGAACGCUGGCGGCGUGCUUAACACAUGCAAGUCGAACGAGAAUCACUGGAAAGAUUUCUUCGGAAUGAAUUUGAUUAGUUUAGUGGCGGACGGGUGAGUAACGCGUGAGUAACCUGCCUUCAANAGGGGGAUAACAUUCUGAAAAGAAUGCUAAUACCGCAUGAUAUAUCGGAAUCACAUGAUUCUGAUAUCAAAGAUUUUAUCGCUUGGAGAUGGACUCGCGUCCGAUUAGUUAGUUGGUGAGGUAACGGCCCACCAAGGCAACGAUCGGUAGCCGGACUGAGAGGUUGAACGGCCACAUUGGGACUGAGACACGGCCCAGACUCCUACGGGAGGCAGCAGUGGGGAAUAUUGCACAAUGGGGGAAACCCUGAUGCAGCGACGCCGCGUGGAGGAAGAAGGUCUUCGGAUUGUAAACUCCUGUUGUUGAGGAAGAUAAUGACGGUACUCAACAAGGAAGUGACGGCUAACUACGUG
rnacentral:rRNA from 1 species